CAAGAAGUAGUUUAAUUAGAAUAUCAGCUUUGGGUGUUGAUGGUGGGGAGAUACUCCUUCUUCUUGA
rnacentral:tRNA from 1 species